UUGCUUUGGGAUGGGCCUGUGGCCGAUUAGCUAGUUGGUGGGGUAAGAGCCUACCAAGGCGACGAUCGGUAGCUGGUCUGAGAGGACGAUCAGCCACACUGGGAUUGAGAACGGCCCAGACUCCUACGGGGGGCAGCAGUGAGGAAUUUUCCGCAAUGGACGAAAGUCUGACGGAGCAACGCCGCGUGCAGGAGGACGCUUUUCGGAGUGUAAACUGCUUUUCCCAGGGAAGAGACCGGACGGUACCUGGGGAAGAAGCCCCGGCUAACUACGUGCCAGCAGCCGCGGUAAUACGUAGGGGGCGAGCGUUGUCCGGAGUUACUGGGCGUAAAGGGCAUGCAGGCGGUCGUACGCGUUUUGUGUGACAGCGGGUGGCUUAACUACCCGAGUAUGCGAAAGACGGUAUGACUUGAGGGCUCGAGAGGGACACGGAAUUCCGGGUGGAGUGGUGAAAUGCGUAGAGAUCCGGAGGAACACCGAAGGCGAAGGCAGUGUCCUGGCGAGUGACUGACGCUGAGGUGCGAAAGCUAGGGGAGCGAACGGGAUUAGAUACCCCGGUAGUCCUAGCCGUAAACGAUGACCACCAGGUGUGGGAGGUAUCGACCCCUUCCGUGCCGGAGUAAACACACUAAGUGGUCCGCCUGGGGAGUACGGUCGCAAGAUUA
rnacentral:rRNA from 1 species